UCCGUAGGUGGAUCAAUCAGUCAGAGGUGAAAUCCUGCAGCUCAACUGUAGAAUUGCCUUUGAUACUGGUUAUCUUGAGUCAUUAUGAAGUGGUUAGAAUGUGUAGUGUAGCGGUGAAAUGCAUAGAUAUUACACAGAAUACCGAUUGCGAAGGCAGAUCACUAAUAAUGUACUGACACUGAGGGACGAAAGCGUGGGGAGCGAACAGGAUUAGAUACCCUGGUAGUCC
rnacentral:rRNA from 1 species